GAUGAACGCUGGCGGCGUGCCUAAUACAUGCAAGUCGAGCGAACAGACGAGGAGCUUGCUCCUCUGACGUUAGCGGCGGACGGGUGAGUAACACGUGGAUAACCUACCUAUAAGACUGGGAUAACUUCGGGAAACCGGAGCUAAUACCGGAUAACAUGUUGAACCGCAUGGUUCAACAGUGAAAGACGGUCUUGCUGUCGCUUAUAGAUGGAUCCGCGCCGCAUUAGCUAGUUGGUAAGGUAACGGCUUACCAAGGCAACGAUGCGUAGCCGACCUGAGAGGGUGAUCGGCCACACUGGAACUGAGACACGGUCCAGACUCCUACGGGAGGCAGCAGUAGGGAAUCUUCCGCAAUGGGCGAAAGCCUGACGGAGCAACGCCGCGUGAGUGAAGAAGGUCUUCGGAUCGUAAAACUCUGUUAUUAGGGAAGAACAAAUGUGUAAGUAACUAUGCACGUCUUGACGGUACCUAAGCAGAAAGCCACGGCUAACUACGU
rnacentral:rRNA from 1 species